GAUGAACGCUGGCGGCGUGCCUAAUACAUGCAAGUCGAGCGAACAGACGAGGAGCUUGCUCCUCUGACGUUAGCGGCGGACGGGUGAGUAACACGUGGAUAACCUACCUAUAAGACUGGGAUAACUUCGGGAAACCGGAGCUAAUACCGGAUAAUAUAUUGAACCGCAUGGUUCAAUAGUGAAAGACGGUUUUGCUGUCACUUAUAGAUGGAUCCGCGCCGCAUUAGCUAGUUGGUAAGGUAACGGCUUACCAAGGCAACGAUGCGUAGCCGACCUGAGAGGGGGAUCGGCCACACUGGAACUGAGACACGGUCCAGACUCCUACGGGAGGCAGCAGUAGGGAAUCUUCCGCAAUGGGCGAAAGCUUGACGGAGCAACGCCGCGUGAGUGAUGAAGGUCUUCGGAUCGCAAAACUCUGUUAUUAGGGAAGAACAAAUGUGUAAGUAACUAUGCACGUCUUGACGGUACCUAAUCAGAAAGCCACGGCUAACUACGUG
rnacentral:rRNA from 1 species